rnacentral:rRNA from 1 species
GAUGAACGCUGGCGGCGUGCCUAAUACAUGCAAGUCGAGCGAACGGACGAGAAGCUUGCUUCUCUGAUGUUAGCGGCGGACGGGUGAGUAACACGUGGAUAACCUACCUAUAAGACUGGGAUAACUUCGGGAAACCGGAGCUAAUACCGGAUGAUAUUUUGAACCGCAUGGUUCAAAAGUGAAAGACGGUCUUGCUGUCACUUAUAGAUGGAUCCGCGCUGCAUUAGCUAGUUGGUAAGGUAACGGCUUACCAAGGCAACGAUGCAUAGCCGACCUGAGAGGGUGAUCGGCCACACUGGAACUGGGACACGGUCCAGACUCCUACGGGAGGCAUCAGUAGGGAAUCUUCCGCAAUGGGCGAAAGCCUGACGGAGCAACGCCGCGUGAGUGAUGAAGGUCUUCGGAUCGUAAAACUCUGUUAUUAGGGAAGAACAUAUGUGUAAGUAACUGUGCACAUCUUGACGGUACCUAAUCAGAAAGCCACGGCUAACUACGUG